CCACAAACACACACAGGCUCCCAAUUCUAAAAAAAGAGCACAAGCUCUCCCUCGCCUCCGGAUCCAGCCGCCACGAGCGCCCGAUCCCACAUGACGCUCGAUCCGGUGUUGUGCCGGUCGCCGGCGUUGAGGAUCCCCCUCCCCCUUCUUACAUCUCUCUCUCGCACGAAAUAGGGUUGGGCGCCUCCGCCGUUUUCCUGUUGGCAAAGCCCCGGAUCAUCGUGUUCCCGCGUAGGAGAGAGCGGCAGGGUUGAGCUCCUGUGAAGAGACAUGGAGGUGAGGAUGGGUGCGGCGCCUGUCCUCUCCCAUCAAGCACCAGAUCAAAGAAGCAGCAGCUCCCCACCUCCAUCCCGUCUCCUCUCCUACAUCGGCUGUGCCAUGCCACACUCAUGGAGCGGAGUCGCAGAAGCACCUGAAGAAUCACGUAGUUGAUCCGGCCUUGGGUGGAUGCCUGGGAAGAUUGGAUCUACAUUGAGUAAAUUGAUGUUCAUACAUGAUGGGUCAAAGAUGGCGCAGUAGGUGUCACAGUGAACUAUUACCAGCUUGAGGAGAUGCUCACAUGACAACAUGGUUGUCGGAUGUCACAUCCGGCUAGAGCAAGCUUCUCUUCCAAAUUCUAUGGAUUAUUUCACUUACCUUAUUUUUCUGGCCGUAGCUCCUUUUUAAAAUUGUUUGGUGCUGUAUGAGCCAAGCCUGAAGAUAUACAAUAUACAGGCUUAUAGUUAGUAUUUUCCUUUUUAUAUCUCAUGGUUACUGUUUCAGUUAGCUAGAAGGAUGUGCUACAGUUACAGUAGUCACAUGCCUUUUAUACUAUGUUUGGUUUAUAUAACUGUUAAAGCAUAUGUUGACUUGCUAAAUAGUGUUGCAUGCAGGUUUCCUGUCGAAACAAACACUCAAUUGAUAGAUAUGCAAUUGUUUCCGACCUGGUGCGUAGCUGAAAAAUAACAUAUGGCCUAUACAUAUUCUACAUUGCCGGUUUGCAGAUUCUUUAACCAUACUGGCAUAAUAGCCUACUGAAUGUAUCAGAAUUUAUUAUUUUUCAGAUUUGUGUUAUUAUGAACUGAGAUGCCCAAAGAAAUAUGUUUCUGAAUCAUUAAUCAGGGUGUAGUCUAUGCUUUUCAUGCAUGCUCAAAGAGAAUAUGUUUAAUUAAUACUACACACACACACACACACACACACACACACAUAUUUACGAAAUAAAGUUAAUAAACAGUCACUCUUUUCUACACUCCAGGACAAGGACUGCACUAUGGAUACAGAUUAGCCUUGCAGGUUUGAAAUUUAAAAAUACAUUUAACCUUACAGAUAUGGAAAUCUGAAAAAUGCAACAACUGAAUGACUUUUAUUUGUGUAAUCAGUUGCAGGAAAGUGUAGUAUUGUUAAGUGGAAAAUUGUAGCCGAUUGAGGCUUAUAGUUUGUUCCUGAUUCUGCUGUUAGAUAUUAUGUAUAUUGUCAAUGUUUGAUGUAGCCAUAUCUAAUCCACAGAUGGGUAGGCACCUUUGAGUUUUUAUCAUAGAUACAAACAUUGUAGUGUGAGCUUUAUGAUUUUUAUGAUGUACUAACUUGCAUUAGUCAACCAGGAACAAAAGUUAUCUUCUAUAUCUAUAUAAACGAUGAUAAAAUCUCAGUGUUCGCGAUGCCUCCAACAUGAGGUGAACUGUCUCGGUAAAAAAACUGUCCCGGUAAAAAUAUAUGAAUGGAGGUGUGCAGUGCAGUUUGCUACUGGAGCAAAGCAAAGAUUAGCAGUUAGCCAUAAAGAAUCAAAAAAUAAGUUGCACAAGAACCACAAGUCAAGAUCCACCAGUGAACCAUCCUCACAAAAAUACUAAUCACAGUAUCGCAACACACAAAAAGGACAUGAAUUUGUAUGAUUAAUCUCAGGUGAAACAUUAGCAACACUAGAAAAUUUAGGAAAUAAGCUUUUGUCUGCUUUAUAUAGAUAAAACAAACCAACGCAUGGUGCUCUGGAACACAACUAACAAAGGCUAGGAAACAUGAGAAGAAAGGAUAAAAAGAUAAUGCUGACUGAUGCACCAACGUGGUGUGAUCGAUUACGUAAGUUUUUUCUUCCUACAAAGUUCAUCGUAUGAUUUAUUUGCUUUAUGCUGCCAUUUGUUCAUUAUGUGCUAUGUUUGCUGGUGGGCCUUCAUGUAGUUGGUGGUUAGCGGCUCGGUGAAAGCUUUGCUUCAUUGAGUUGAUGCCAGUGACCGCAGUAUUCGCAAGCAUCGGUCUCCUCCUUGGAGGCAUCACCAAGGAUUGUGCCCUCACCUUUCGUUUUGGGUGAAAACCCUUGGCCCGACCUGUACCACUGUCGGGAAUGACAUUGACAAAUUUGUUUGUAGUAAUGCUCUAAUAGUCAUGUCUUCAUUAGUGUUCUCUCUUGAUAACGAGACUGAUUGCAACUAUGGUACUGCUAAUUAAUUUAAAUUUUUGUUAUCAUCUUCGAGAGUUUAUAUCUUCAUCAUUUAAUUCAGGUUCGACGAUCUUCCAUUUAGCCAAGUAACUAAAUUGUCAUUUAACUACUAGAAUUAUUCUCGCAUGUGAGUGCACUCUAAAUGUUAGAGGAUGGCAUGCUAUCUAGGCCUCCAGGGUCUGCAAUAAUAGUACGGUCCUAGGGUUUAUACUCCCUCCGUCCGGAAAUACUUGUCAUUGGAAUAGAUGUAUCUAGAUGUAUUUUAGUUCUAGAUACAUCCAUUUUCAUCCAUUUUGAUGACAAGUAUUUCCGGACGGAGGGAGUAUUACUCAAAAUCUGGAUGUAUUUUCAAGUUAAUUAUUUAGGAUUGAUCUAGGUUCUGUUGUUGGUCAUGACUCAGUUGUACACAAGGUGAUAGUUUAGAAUUCAUUGAUAAUGUAAUUUCAUAGAAUGAUUUGUGCCAGUAGUUGUUUUACUCAAAUAUGAACUUUUUGUUGUGUUGUUUGGUACGGACCUGGAGCAUCAUUCUCAUCCACCUAUAGAAGAUAGUAUAGCAUGGAUUAAGAACUACUCCCUCUAUCCCAAAAUAAGUGUAUCAACCAUACUACAACUUUGUACUAAAGUUAGUACAAAGUUGAGACACUUAUUUUGGGACGGAGGGACUAUAUGUAGUUGUGUAUAGUUUCAGUUAUAUAGCAAGCAUUCAUUACUUCCUUCUUUUUAAGCACUUCAUAUAGAUCAGUAAUGAUCCUUCAAAUUUUCUUUUGGUGAACCAUAUGAUAAUGGCCAAUCCACUCUUACGAAGUAGACAAUGGAAAUGUAUUUCACAUGAUGAAAUUUUGGUUUCAGGGGUAAAGAUAUUGAAUGUAUGGCACUUAACUUUUUUAUGGUGGGUGUGUGCCACUUGAUGUGAUGGAGUGACUCCUGGGCGGUGGUGUACAUGUUCCUCCAUGGCAAGGGCCCCCGCAUCAUGGGCAUUCUGACCAAGGUCGUGUAUUUUUGUGUCACCAGGGCGAUCCCCAUGUAACUGAUCCUAUUCCCUUCUAUAUGUAGCAUGGUCAACUUGCGUUGAUUGAUUCAGUAAAAGGGGUGUUGGUUUGUGUUUGGUUUUGUGUAACCUUCUGAAUUCCAAAACUAGAACAUGUACAGUUUAGGUGUGAAGAUGUACUUCAGCAUGUGAUUUGUUCUUUGAAAUUGAAUUCAGACCUUGAGUA